GCCAGGUGUGGCGGCUUGCACCUGUAGUCCCAGCUACUCAGGAGGCUGAGGCAGGAGGAUCACUUGAGCCCAGGAGGUGGAGGUUGCAGUGAUCCGAGAUCAUGCCACUGCACUCCAGCCUGGGUGACAGAGUGAGAUCCUGUUUCAA
rnacentral:SRP_RNA from 1 species